rnacentral:lncRNA from 1 species
CACACAAGGACCUCACAUUCUUUUCCUAUUUCUGUCAUCUUUUGCCCUACAGAUGACACAUAAUAGAACAUGAUUUUAGACAAUAGUGGAGGCAAAUCACUAAACUUUAUAUGAAUCAAAAUUCACAUGUGAAACUAUCGAUUAGACAAGUGGUCCAAGUCGUUUCUUUGUACACUCGCGAACUAGGUCACCACCAUGAACCAGGCCGCAUGUGCGCACCUACACUGGCACAUGCGCUCCCUUCCAGUCCGUACAAGCCUAAGCCGUUCCUAAACAACCCCAAAAUUAUCCAAACUCAAACAAGCCGACAUAAACUUGUUCAAACUAGAUAGAUCUAAUGGGAAAUCGCAGGUUUGGAGGAGAAAAUUUUGAGAAUCAACGAUGAAGCUUACCUGGUAGGUCGCCUCGACUGUAGAGUACCUCCUCUCGAAGGCCAUGGCGACAGGAGGCGAAUCUAGGCCGGAGACAUGGUCGCGCGAGGCAGAAGAGUUGCUGGCUCAAGGCUGGUCAGGGCUGGAGGUCGUGGUCGCUCGAGGUAGGUUGGAGACUCGGGCGGUGGCGACGCAAGGCAACUCGAGGACGGCACAUACGACGACGCAACCAACUCGGCUAACAAGGCAACGGCAUGUGUCUUUGUUUCGCUGAGGGUAUAUGUGGUGUGAGUGGGAGAGGAUAUGGGAGAUUGGCGGAGCACGGAGUCCUAGCGAAAAAUUUGUUGGCGGGUGGUGCCACACGCGCGUGGUUGGAAAUUAGUGGGUCAGCUACGAAAAACGUGGACACUUUUUACAUCACAAACACUUACCGACACACGAUCUAAUGGUAAAGAAACCUAUGUCGACACAUUGUACGUCCACAAACCAUUAUGCAAUGCCGACAGAUAAAUUGUCAGAAGUAUAGAGUAACAUCAGUAAUCAGUGUGUCGGUAUAGUUUGUGACAAAAAGAAUGUCAGCGAUGCACACUUUUGCUGACAGAUGCAUGUUGCCCUUGUCGUGUCAUGGUGUAGUGCAUAUAUACAACACGAUUUGCAGUUUGUCAACUUUGUAACAAUUUGGUUGCAAUUAAACUAAGCAUCACAUAUUUGGGUAUCUAGAGACAAGAGCUAUCUAGGGCGUGUUUGGUUCCCGCAUUAGGCCGAACCACAUCGAGCUGGGCCAAAAAUAUUAUGGUUAGUUGCAUGUGGGGUGCGCUGGCUCGCAUCAACACGAACCUUAAAACAACACAGAGCCUGCUUUGCUGGAAACUCUCGAAUUGGUAGUUUCUGAAAGUGCUAGUUGUCGACUAGAGGGGAGGGGAGGGGGAGGGUGAAUAGGCAAUUGUUAUGAAAAACUUCAAACAGUAAAUGUGUUCGAAGUAAGGGGAAACGAAUGAGGAUGAGAUAGGGAUAACACUCAAAGAUCUAGGCAGGGCAUGCUGAGUGAUGAAGACAUUCAAACAACUAAAUCGUAGUCAUCAUACAAACAAAAGCAUAUCGAUUAUAAAUUAGAGCACUACAAAGACAAAUGCAGAUUGGAUGAAUGUAUUUGAUGAAAGUCUUCACACACAAGCAAUGACUUCAUAGUGCAUAAUUGUAAGUAAGGAGUGGAAGGAUAGAACCAGCUACUUGAUGAAGACUCACGAUUUGUUGGACCAGUUUCAGUUGCUGUGACAACUGUACGUAGGGAGGAUGAGAUUCAAACUGAGAAAACCUCAUCUUCACCUUGUUCCCGUUGAGCCAAGGUCACUUAGACCUCUCCCAAUCACUCAAGUAAAUCUUCGGGGUAGACUUUGGAAACCCGUACAAAUUCGAUCAUGUGGCGAUCCACAAUGAUUCUUGGAUGUUGUAGACCAUGACGCCUAACCGUCUGAAAGAUCACAGUCUUCAAGUGUAACAAGUCUUCUGUUCACUCAGAAUAGAAUAACUCCCGUAAUGCUCAAACACUCUGGCUCUAGGUGUUUUGUUUAUCCUUGCAAGAUAGCUCCCUCUCAAUGUCUACGAGCUGGGUUGCUCCAAAAUGAAAAUAACUGUAUCUAACUCUGAAUAAUCACCAACUUAUGGUGGACGGGGUUGGCUAUUUAUAGCCAAUCAACAACCCGACACGAUACGACCAAAACUGAUGAGGAAUCAAUAUCACCGUUACACCCACAACCCCUGUCGCUAUACAUAGUGGACCAAUCACUAGAGCUCGUGCAUGCCAGUUGAAUUACCAAGUACUUUCGUUUCAUGGAAAUCCUUCUAAUGUUCAUGGACUUAUGAUGCUGCCUAAAUUAGAUACUUUUGUUUUAUUUAUGAAUGAAGGAC